UACGGAGGGUGCAAGCAUUGAUCGGAAUUACUGGGCGUAAAGGGCGCGUAGGCGGUUUUGAAAGUCAGAUGUGAAAUUCCGGGGCUCAACCCCGGAGCUGCAUUUGAGACUUCAGAGCUAGAGGUCAGUUAGGGAAAACGGAAUUCCACGUGUAGCGGUGAAAUGCGUAGAUAUGUGGAAGAACACCAGUGGUGAAGACGGUUUUCUGGGCUGAUACUGACGCUGAGGCGCGAAAGCAAGGGGAGCAAACAGG
rnacentral:rRNA from 1 species